CCAUAUACUAGCAUAACCCAUGUAAAUCCUUUUACUAGGGCAACCCGAUAUACCAAAUAACAACCGGCAAGAAAACCAAAAUCAGACAACAAGAUUUGAACCCGUUCACGUUCGGAAUAAAUAGGACUAUAUGGGUCAAAGUGACUUGCAACCCGAUCAUAUGACCGUCCGGCUAUAUUUACAAUCAAGUAUAAAGGCCAUCCUAGGGUGAGGGUGAAUGUUAUGAUGAAAAUUCGGCCAAGUGGGUUGUUGAAGUGAUGGUAAUAUGAUCGAAUAGUCUCCUUGAAUCGAGGGACAUGGUUUUCAUCGCGAUCUAGGGAAUUGGUAUUAGCAUGGUGACGACGAUGACUAAUUUUCCAAGAGAAAUAAGGAACAAGAAGAAGAGAAUGAAGAAUAAAGCCAACAGUGUCAUUUAGCCAAUGAUAGUCGCUAAAGCCAUGGUGGCCACAUUCAUGGGCUACAACCCAUACGGCGAACAUGAAACAACCUUGGACAUAGACAUAAGCAGUCCAUGCAAGGUAAGAUAGAGGCUUAGGAAGGAGAUGGAUGUAGUUUGUGGCAACAUAGUAGAGGAGGAAGCAAACAAUGAGGUCGUAAACAAGGAAAGAGAAAGAGCGGAUGAGCGAACGGUUGAAACAAUGAGGAGGAAUGGCUUUCUUUACGUCCGCGAGAGUAAAUGGAGGUUUUUCGUGAGGAACUCGGCGGAAAAUGUCGUUUUGAUCAGCUUUCUUGUGCUCACCACCGGUAACAGGCAUACGACCACCUUUACCCAUUGUU
rnacentral:lncRNA from 1 species